rnacentral:tRNA from 1 species
AGAGGGGUGGCCGAGUGGUCUAAGGCGCACGCCUGGAAAGCGUGUAUACUCCAAAAGGGUAUCGAGGGUUCGAAUCCCUUCCCCUCUGCAA